GAGGGUUCUUCCGCGCUCCUGGUGUCCUGAGGCAACGUUCAGUGAUGAAUUUUCUCGGCAAAGCCUGUGCUCCCUGAGCUGGUCCUCACUGGAACUACCUGUGAAGCCUUUUCCUGAAGUGACGGACGUGGCUUUUGCAACCAGUUAGCACCUGCUCUCGGAACUUGAUUCCCCUCCCUAAUUGGUUUCAAGUGGAGCCAGGGGAUCAGGACUUAAUUAGCAGCGAUACAGCUCAUACUGAUCGGUUCCCCCCUGCUUCCCCGGGGCCCCAGACCCAACUCUGGAGCAGUCCAGGGAAGGCCGGAGGCUGAGCCCGGCAGGAUCCUGCAUCUCUGUGAUGCAGUGGCAGCAGAGGGUGACAGGAUAAGGACCAAGAUGCUGGCUUCAUCUUCCUUAUGACCCUAAACUACCAUCUGAAAUUGCACCAGAAAGUGUAAAUGGAUUUUAUUGGAGACAUGAGAACGAUGAGUGAGCUGUUGUUUAAGGGCCUGCAGUGCCUUGGAUACAGCUUUCACUCACUUCAGUCGUGUCCGACUCUGUGCCACCCCAUAGACGGAAGCCCACCAGGCUCUGCUGUCCCUGGGAUGGAUUCUCCAGGCAAGAACACCGGAGUGGGUUGCCUUUCCUUCUCCCUCAGGGACACCUAAACUGCUCGCCACUCCCCCAACCCUCUGGCUAGAAAUUGGUCUGGAACCCAACCUGCAGCAUCUUUGAGCUGUGCCUGUAUAAGCAACACAGAGCCAGGAAGGAAGGUGCAAACCAUGAACUGGAAGUGAGGCAGUAAGUCAGGGGCCAAAGGAGCAAGUAGACCAGUCAAUGUAGAUAAACGGGUGCAUGGAAAGGAAAAGGCCAGCCUCCAACAGAGGCAUGCUGCAAGACUUCCAAGGUGAAGAACAGAGAAA
ensembl:lncRNA